GAAACCCGGUGAUCUAGCCAUGGGCAGGUUGAAGGUUGGGUAACACUAACUGGAGGACCGAACCGACUAAUGUUGAAAAAUUAGCGGAUGACUUGUGGCUGGGGGUGAAAGGCCAAUCAAACCGGGAGAUAGCUGGUUCUCCCCGAAAGCUAUUUAGGUAGCGCCUCGUGAAUUCAUCUCCGGGGGUAGAGCACUGUUUCGGCAAGGGGGUCAUCCCGACUUACCAACCCGAUGCAAACUGCGAAUACCGGAGAAUGUUAUCACGGGAGACACACGGCGGGUGCUAACGUCCGUCGUGAAGAGGGAAACAACCCAGACCGCCAGCUAAGGUCCCAAAGUCAUGGUUAAGUGGGAAACGAUGUGGGAAGGCCCAGACAGCCAGGAUGUUGGCUUAGAAGCAGCCAUCAUUUAAAGAAAGCGUAAUAGCUCACUGGUCGAGUCGGCCUGCGCGGAAGAUGUAACGGGGCUAAACCAUGCACCGAAGCUGCGGCAGCGACACUAUGUGUUGUUGGGUAGGGGAGCGUUCUGUAAGCCUGUGAAGGUGGCCUGUGAGGGUUGCUGGAGGUAUCAGAAGUGCGAAUGCUGACAUAAGUAACGAUAAAGCGGGUGAAAAGCCCGCUCGCCGGAAGACCAAGGGUUCCUGUCCAACGUUAAUCGGGGCAGGGUGAGUCGACCCCUAAGGCGAGGCCGAAAGGCGUAGUCGAUGGGAAACAGGUUAAUAUUCCUGUACUUGGUGUUACUGCGAAGGGGGGACGGAGAAGGCUAUGUUGGCCGGGCGACGGUUGUCCCGGUUUAAGCGUGUAGGCUGGUUUUCCAGGCAAAUCCGGAAAACCAAGGCUGAGGCGUGAUGACGAGGCACUACGGUGCUGAAGCGACAAAUGCCCUGCUUCCAGGAAAAGCCUCUAAGCAUCAGGUAACAUCAAAUCGUACCCCAAACCGACACAGGUGGUCAGGUAGAGAAUACCAAGGCGCUUGAGAGAACUCGGGUGAAGGAACUAGGCAAAAUGGUGCCGUAACUUCGGGAGAAGGCACGCUGAUAUGUAGGUGAAGCGACUUGCUCGUGGAGCUGAAAUCAGUCGAAGAUACCAGCUGGCUGCAACUGUUUAUUAAAAACACAGCACUGUGCAAA
rnacentral:rRNA from 1 species